ACGGCUCAGUAACACGUGGCUAACCUACCCUUUAGGACGGAGACACCCCCGGGAAACUGGGGCUAAUACCCGAUAGGUGAGGAGGCCUAGAAUGGUUCUUCGCUGAAAAGGCGUUGAAACCAUGCUUUUCAACGUCGCCUAAGGAUGGGGCCGCGCCCGAUCAGGUUGUUGGUGAGGUAACGGCUCACCAAGCCUAUAACCGGUACGGGCCGUGAGAGCGGGAGCCCGGAGAUGGGCACUGAGACAAGGGCCCAGGCCCUACGGGGCGCAGCAGUCGCGAAAACUCCGCAAUGCGCGAAAGCGUGACGGGGCUACCCCGAGUGCCGUCCGCUGAGGAUGGCUUUUCCCCGGUGUAAUGAGCCGGGGGAAUAAGGAGAGGGCAAGACUGGUGUCAGCCGCCGCGGUAAUACCAGCUCUCCGAGUAGUAGGGACGAUUAUUGGGCUUAAAGCGUCCGUAGCCGGCUUAGCAAGUCUCCUGUUAAAUUCAGCGACUUAAUCGUUGAGCCGCGGGAGAUACUACUAGGCUAGGAGGCGGGAGAGGCCGACGGUAUUCCCGGGGUAGGGGUGAAAUCCUAUAAUCCCGGGAGGACCACCAGUGGCGAAGGCUGUCGGCUAGAACGCGCUCGACGGUGAGGGACGAAAGCUGGGGGAGCGAACCGGAUUAGAUACCCGGGUAGUCCCAGCUGUAAACGAUGCGGGCUAGGUGUUGAGGUGGCUACGAGCCACUUCAGUGCCGCAGGGAAGCCAUUAAGCCCGCCGCCUGGGGAGUACGGCCGCAAGGCUGAAACUUAAAGGAAUUGGCGGGGGAG
rnacentral:rRNA from 1 species